rnacentral:rRNA from 1 species
UGAGGAACAUGACCUUCGGCGGGGGAUAGCCGGCCCAACGGCCGGGUAAUACCGCGUACGACCACAUGGGGACAUCCCUGAGUGGUGAAAGCAGCAAUGCGCCGAUGGAGUGCCUCGCGGCCUAUCAGCUAGUUGGUGAGGUAACGGCUCACCAAGGCGACGACGGGUANCUGGUCUGAGAGGAUGGCCAGCCANAUUGGAACUGAGACACGGUCCAGACCUGUACCGGGAG